GAGUUGUCUUCUGGGACUGAAAAUGAAAUAGCACAAGCACUUUGAAAUGGUUACACGUCUGUUCACUUUAGCAUCUGAUUCCUCUGGGGCUCAUCUCUGCCAAAGCUAAAAAAGCCUGCUGCUGGAGCAGCAUUGUUUGCUUAUCGCCAGCCUGGGCAUACGAUUUCAAGUUUGAGUGGGGGUGACACACUCCAUUAUGCCGUGAUUGUGGAAUAAAUAGAUGUUUGAAUGGUUUCUUUGAAUUGUUUUCUAUGCUCAUUGUAGCUUAUAUUCGUAGUUCAAACGGGGGAAACAAAACCGAGGGAAGGAUCCGGGGAAGCAGUGUUUGCCUACUCCAAACGGCUUACCAGGAGAUUGAUUUUCAGGUACAGUGUGCAGAAAUGGGAAUAUUUGAUGCUGUCCAGCGGUGAGAUUCUAGAUUGAGACGCUCCCUUGCUCACCCCACCCAUCGCUGAAGCAGUGGUGACCUCUGAGGACAGGAAGCUGUUGUGAUUCAUGAUAGGAUGUGGAUCAGGAACAGUGAGGAUUCUGCAGAAGAACUGACACAUGUAGCUGGCAGCUGAAAACAACCCCUCAGUCGCUACAGUCAAAGUGGUCACCACAGUUUGUGUGGUAAAGUCUGACGUUUGGCAAAAUAAAGAGAUUUCAA